rnacentral:misc_RNA from 1 species
GAUGAAGAACGUAGCGAAAUGCGAUAAGUAAUGUGAAUUGCAGAAUUCAGUGAAUCAUCGAAUCUUUGAACGCACCUUGCACCCUUUGGCAUUCCGAAGGGUAUGCUCGUUUGAGUGUCAUUGUACUCUCACACUCUCCGAUCCUAUGGAUUCGGGGAGCUGUGGACUUGGGUGUUGCUGCCUUUCCCUGUGGCUCACCUCAAAUGCGUCAGUGCACCUCUUGGUUGGACAUAGUACGGCGUGAUAAGUGUCUUCGCCGGCACCUCGCAAGAGGGUGGCCGAUCGGGAGCUCUGCGCUUUCAAACCGUCUUCGGACAAUUUCUGACAUCUUGACCUCAAAUCGAGUAGGACUACCCGCUGAACUUAAGCAUAUCAAUAAGCGGAGGA